rnacentral:rRNA from 1 species
CCUACGGGAGGCAGCAGUGGGGAAUAUUGCACAAUGGGGGAAACCCUGAUGCAGCGACGCCGCGUGAGCGAUGAAGUAUUUCGGUAUGUAAAGCUCUAUCAGCAGGGAAGAAAAUGACGGUACCUGACUAAGAAGCCCCGGCUAACUACGUGCCAGCAGCCGCGGUAAUACGUAGGGGGCAAGCGUUAUCCGGAUUUACUGGGUGUAAAGGGAGCGUAGACGGUCCUGCAAGCCAGAUGUGAAAGCCUGGGGCUCAACCCCGGGACUGCAUUUGGAACUGUAAGGCUAGAGUGUCGGAGAGGCAGGCGGAAUUCCUGGUGUAGCGGUGAAAUGCGUAGAUAUUAGGAGGAACACCAGUGGCGAAGGCGGCCUGCUGGACGAUGACUGACGUUGAGGCUCGAAAGCGUGGGGAGCAAACAGGAUUAGAUACCCCAGUAGUC